UAGGGAAUCUUCCGCAAUGGACGCAAGUCUGACGGAGCAACGCCGCGUGAGUGAAGAAGGAUUUCGGUUCGUAAAACUCUGUUGUUAGAGAAGAACAGCGCAUAGAGUAACUGUUAUGCGUGUGACGGUAUCUAACCAGAAAGCCACGGCUAACUACGUGCCAGCAGCCGCGGUAAUACGUAGGUGGCAAGCGUCGUCCGGAUUUAUUGGGCGUAAAGCGAGCGCAGGCGGUCAAUUAAGUCUGAUGUGAAAGCCCCCGGCUCAACCGGGGAGGGUCAUUGGAAACUGGUUGACUUGAGUGCAGAAGAGGAGAGUGGAAUUCCAUGUGUAGCGGUGAAAUGCGUAGAUAUAUGGAGGAACACCAGUGGCGAAGGCGACUCUCUGGUCUGUAACUGACGCUGAGGCUCGAAAGCGUGGGUAGCAAACAGG
rnacentral:rRNA from 1 species